UCCUACGGGAGGCAGCAGUGGGGAAUAUUGGGCAAUGGGCGAAAGCCUGACCCAGCAACGCAGCGUGAGGGAAGAAGGUUUUCGGAUUGUAAACUUCUUUUAUCAGGGACGAAGGAAGUGACGGUACCUGAUGAAUAAGCCACGGCUAACUACGUGCCAGCAGCCGCGGUAAU
rnacentral:rRNA from 1 species